CCUACGGGUGGCAGCAGUAGGGAAUCUUUCACAAUGGGCGAAAGCCUGAUGGAGCAACGCCGCGUGCAGGAUGACGGCCUUCGGGUUGUAAACUGCUUUUAUAAGCGAGAAAUAUGAUGGUAACUUAUGAAUAAGGAUCGGCUAACUACGUGCCAGCAGCUGCGGUCAUACGUAGGAUCCGAGCAUUAUCCGGAGUGACUGAGUGUAAAGAGUUGCGUAGGUGGCAUAAUAAGUAGCUAGUGAAAUCUGGUGGCUCAACCAUUCAGACUAUUAGCUAAACUGGUAAGCUCGAGACCGUUAGGGGUAAGUGGAAUUUCUAGUGUAGGAGUGAAAUGCGUAGAUAUUAGAAGGAACACCAAUAGCGUAGGCAGGUUACUGGGACGGUUCUGACACUAAGGCACGAAAGCGUAGGGAGCAAACGGGAUUAGAUACCCGUGUAGUC
rnacentral:rRNA from 1 species